UUUAUGGAGAGUUUGAUCCUGGCUCAGGACGAACGCUGGCGGCGUGCCUAAUACAUGCAAGUCGAGCGGACUUUGCGAGAAG
rnacentral:rRNA from 1 species